UACGGCGGUGGCAAGCGUUGUCCGGAAUUACUGGGUGUAAAGGGCGUGUAGGCGGGACUGCAAGUCAGAUGUGAAAUUCCCAGGCUCAACCCGGGGGCUGCAUCUGAAACUGUGGUUCUUGAGUGCUGGAGAGGAAAGCGGAAUUCCUAGUGUAGCGGUGAAAUGCGUAGAUAUUAGGAGGAACACCAGUGGCGAAGGCGGCUUUCUGGACAGUAACUGACGCUGAGGCGCGAAAGCGUGGGGAGCAAACAGG
rnacentral:rRNA from 1 species